rnacentral:rRNA from 1 species
AGAUUGAACGCUGGCGGCAUGCCUUACACAUGCAAGUCGAACGGCAGCACGGGGGCAACCCUGGUGGCGAGUGGCGAACGGGUGAGUAAUGCAUCGGAACGUGCCCAGUAGUGGGGGAUAACUAGUCGAAAGAUUAGCUAAUACCGCAUACGACCUAUGGGUGAAAGCGGGGGAUUCGCAAGAACCUCGCGCUAUCGGAGCGGCCGAUGUCUGAUUAGCUAGUUGCGGGUAAAGCCACCAAGGCUUCGAUCAGUAGCUGGUCUGAGAGGACGACCAGCCACACUGGGACUGAGACACGGCCCAGACUCCUACGGGAGGCAGCAGUGGGGAAUUUUUGGACAAUGGGCGCAAGCCUGAUCCAGCCAUGCCGCGUGCGGGAAGAAGGCCUUCGGUGUAAACCGCUUUUUGGCAGGAACGAAACGGCGCGAGCGAAUAUCUCGCGUUAAUGACGGUACCUGCAGAAUAAGCACCGCUAACUACGUGCCAGCA